GAGGCGAACCGGGGGAACUGAAACAUCUAAGUACCCCGAGGAAAAGAAAUCAACCGAGAUUCCGAAAGUAGCGGCGAGCGAAAUUGGACUAGCCCUUAAGCUUUACACGCGUUAGACGAACGGUCUGGAAAGUCCGACGAUACAGGGUGAUAGUCCCGUAGUUGACGACGUGUGUUCAGUGAAAUCGAGUAGGGCGGGACACGUGAUAUCCUGUCUGAAUAUGGGGGGACCAUCCUCCAAGGCUAAAUACUACUGACUGACCGAUAGUGAACCAGUACCGUGAGGGAAAGGCGAAAAGAACCCCUGUGAGGGGAGUGAAAUAGAACCUGAAACCGUGUACGUACAAGCAGUAGGAGCAGGCUUGUCCUGUGACUGCGUACCUUUUGUAUAAUGGGUCAGCGACUUAUAUUCAGUGGCAAGGUUAACCAUCUAGGGGAGCCGUAGGGAAACCGAGUCUUAACUGGGCGUUCAGUCUCUGGAUAUAGACCCGAAACCAGGUGAUCUAGCCAUGGGCAGGUUGAAGGUUGAGUAACAUCAACUGGAGGACCGAACCGACUAAUGUUGAAAAAUUAGCGGAUGACUUGUGGCUAGGGGUGAAAGGCCAAUCAAACCUGGAGAUAGCUGGUUCUCCCCGAAAGCUAUUUAGGUAGCGCCUCGGACGAAUACUACUGGGGGUAGAGCACUGUUAAGGCUAGGGGGUCAUCCCGACUUACCAACCCUUUGCAAACUCCGAAUACCAGUAAGUACUAUCCGGGAGACACACGGCGGGUGCUAACGUCCGUCGUGGAGAGGGAAACAACCCAGACCGCCAGCUAAGGUCCCAAAUUACUACUAAGUGGGAAACGAUGUGGGAAGGCUCAGACAGCCAGGAUGUUGGCUUAGAAGCAGCCAUCAUUUAAAGAAAGCGUAAUAGCUCACUGGUCGAGUCGGCCUGCGCGGAAGAUGUAACGGGGCUAAGUAGUAAACCGAAGCUGCGGCAAUAUACUUUUGUAUAUUGGGUAGGGGAGCGUUCUGUAAGCGGUUGAAGGUGUGUGGUAACGCAUGCUGGACGUAUCAGAAGUGCGAAUGCUGACAUGAGUAACGAUAAAGGGGGUGAAAAACCUCCUCGCCGGAAGACCAAGGGUUCCUGUCCAACGUUAAUCGGGGCAGGGUAAGUCGACCCCUAAGGCGAGGCCGAAAGGCGUAGUCGAUGGGAAACGGGUUAAUAUUCCCGUACUUCUUACAAUUGCGAUGGGGGGACGGAGAAGGCUAGGUGGGCCUGGCGACGGUUGUCCAGGUUCAAGUGCGUAGGCUUAAGAGUUAGGUAAAUCCGGCUCUUUUUAAGGCUGAGACACGACGUCGAGCUACUACGGUAGUGAAGUCAUUGAUGCCAUGCUUCCAGGAAAAGCCUCUAAGCUUCAGAUUGUAAGGAAUCGUACCCCAAACCGACACAGGUGGUCGGGUAGAGAAUACCAAGGCGCUUGAGAGAACUCGGGUGAAGGAACUAGGCAAAAUGGUACCGUAACUUCGGGAGAAGGUACGCUCUNNNNNNNNNNNNNNNNNNNNNNGAGAGUCGCAGAUACCAGGUGGCUGCAACUGUUUAUUAAAAACACAGCACUGUGCAAAAUCGUAAGAUGACGUAUACGGUGUGACGCCUGCCCGGUGCCGGAAGGUUAAUUGAUGGGGUUAGACUUCGGUCGAAGCUCUUGAUCGAAGCCCCGGUAAACGGCGGCCGUAACUAUAACGGUCCUAAGGUAGCGAAAUUCCUUGUCGGGUAAGUUCCGACCUGCACGAAUGGCGUAAUGAUGGCCACGCUGUCUCCACCCGAGACUCAGUGAAAUUGAAAUCGCUGUGAAGAUGCAGUGUACCCGCGGCUAGACGGAAAGACCCCGUGAACCUUUACUACAGCUUGGCACUGAACAUUGACCCUACAUGUGUAGGAUAGGUGGGAGGCUUUGAAGCACGUACGCCAGUAUGUGUGGAGCCGUCCUUGAAAUACCACCCUUGUAGUGUUGAUGUUCUAACGUCGACCCCUUAUCGGGGUUGCGGACAGUGCCUGGUGGGUAGUUUGACUGGGGCGGUCUCCUCCCAAAGAGUAACGGAGGAGCACGAAGGUGGGCUAAUCACGGUUGGACAUCGUGAGGUUAGUGCAAUGGCAUAAGCCCGCUUGACUGCGAGAAUGACAAUUCGAGCAGGUGCGAAAGCAGGUCAUAGUGAUCCGGUGGUUCUGAAUGGAAGGGCCAUCGCUCAACGGAUAAAAGGUACUCCGGGGAUAACAGGCUGAUACCGCCCAAGAGUUCAUAUCGACGGCGGUGUUUGGCACCUCGAUGUCGGCUCAUCACAUCCUGGGGCUGAAGUCGGUCCCAAGGGUAUGGCUGUUCGCCAUUUAAAGUGGUACGCGAGCUGGGUUUAGAACGUCGUGAGACAGUUCGGUCCCUAUCUGCCGUGGGCGUUGGAAGAUUGAAGGGGGCUGCUCCUAGUACGAGAGGACCGGAGUGGACGAACCUCUGGUGUUCGGGUUGUGUCGCCAGACGCAUUGCCCGGUAGCUAAGUUCGGAAUCGAUAACCGCUGAAAGCAUCUAAGCGGGAAGCGAGCCCUGAGAUGAGUCUUCCCUGAUACUUUAAGUAUCCUAAAGGGUUGUCGGAGACUACGACGUUGAUAGGUCAGGUGUGUAAGUGCUGUGAGGCAUUGAGCUAACUGAUACUAAUUGCCCGUGAGGCUUAACCAUACAACACCCAAGGGGUUU
rnacentral:rRNA from 1 species